AUGUUCGAGUAUGUAAAUGUUGUCAGCAAGAUGUUUGAUAGUGAGGCUGAAGGCUAUGAAUUCUACAAAAAAUAUGCUCUUGAAAAAGGUUUUAGUGUGAGGAAAAGCUACGUUGAGUGGGAUGGAUCCAACAAAUACAUAAUUUUAAGGAAAAUUGUGUGUAGUCGUCAAGGGUUUCGCGAAGAUAAGCACAUGAAAAGAAAGAUGGAAGAUAGAAAGAGGAGGCCACGAAGUUUAACUCGUGUUGGGUGUAAUGCUAAAUUGGUCAUUAAGAGACAGGAGGAAACCGGUCGGUGGUUUGUCAAGGAUUUCAUCGAUGAGCACAGCCAUCCUCUAGCCCUACGGGAUCUUUCUUGUCUGCUGCGUUCGCACAGACGAAUUAGCGAUGAGCAGAAAGCGGACAUGGAAAAAUGUGGGACCCGCAAAUACCGUAUUAUGGAUAUUUUGUGCUUUCAAUACGGUGGAUUUGAUAAGAUUGGAUGCAUAAAGAGGGACAUUUAUAAUUUCUGCCAUGCUAAUAAGCAGGAGACAAUCAGUCUCGGUGAUGCUAAAACGGUGAUCAUGCACAUGAUGGCGAGGCGAGAGCGAGAUGUGGAUUUUUUCUUCAAGUACUUGGUAGACGAGCAUGGCCAUCUGAAGGGACUGUUCUGGGCUGAUAGUCAAUUGCGACUUGACUACGAGGCUUUCGGAGACGUCAUUGUUUUCGAUAGCACAUACAGAACCAACAAAUACAAUCUGCCAUUCGUGCCUUUUGUCAGGUUGAAUCACCACCGCAGCACUGUUAUAUUUGGCUGUGGUAUAAUUUCUCAUGAAACAAGCCAUGCAUACGAGUGGAUGUUGCGGACCUUUUAUGAUUGCAUGGCACAGAAGCAUCCGAUAUCUGUGAUCACAGAUGGGGACCUUGCAAUGCAGAGAGCAAUAAGAGUGGUCUGGCCAGACUCAAACCAUAGACUAUGUAUAUGGCACAUUCAGCAGAAUAUUGUAUGCCAUCUGCAUGAUGACGACGUAAAGGAGGAAUUCAGAUCUUUCAUUUAUGAUACUUCUUCCAUUGAAGAGCAUGAGAUAAAAUGGAUACAAUUCUUACAACGGAAUAAAGUAACCAGUGAGGAGUCUUGGCUGCAUCAGAUGUAUCAGAUGAGAAAGUUGUGGUGUGCUCCAUAUCUUGAGGGGCGUUGUUUCCUAGGAUUGAGCAGCAAUCAGAGGAGUGAGAGCUUGAACUCUGUGCUACAUACGCAUCUUGAGGGUAAGAUGUCGUUGUUUGAAAUGCUAGAGCACUAUGAGCGUUGCCUUGCAUCGCGACGGAUUAACGAAGCUCUCCAUGACGUUGAAGCCUUGCAGUCCGUUCCAUUUACAGAGGAAAAUGCUUCGCCGCUUGAGAAACACGCCGCAAUAGUUUUCACACCUAGUGUCUUUAAGAUGGUCUUAUGGAGCAUAGAUGCUGUCAGCAAAUGUCAGAUUAGAGAGAUACUAGAUGGAUCAGAAGAUUCCACUUAUGUUGUGUCCAAGCAGGAAAGAAUGGAUAAAAAGUUUGGAGUGCGCAUUGAAGAGCAAGGAGGUCUUUUGCACAGGGUGAGUUGUUCUUGCCGUAAGCUGGAAUGCGCAGGCACACCAUGUUCCCACAUUUUUUACAUAUUGGGGAUUUUAAAACAAACAAUUCUGCCCGGUUGUUGCGUUCCCACUAGGUGGACUAUGAAUGCAAAAUGUGCAUACGCAGCUACCAGAAAAAACCAGAUGUAUGACUAUUCGGUAAGCCUGCAGAGGUACCGCGAGUUGCGGAAUUGUAGUCACGCCGCAAGUUUCCAGGCAUGCCACUCUGAUGAGGACUAUCACCGUCUAAAGAUGCUUUUGCAAGCACAACAUCAUGGCAAGCAAUCAAGUUUUGAACAAGCUAACAGCAAGGAGUCAACUAAUGCUCAGCAUAACAGCAUUAGGUUUGGCCCGUUGAUGCCGCACUCGCAGAAAUUUGAUAAGGUUCUGGAUCCUGUGCAUGUGCCAGGAUGA
rnacentral:rRNA from 1 species